GACGAACGCUGGCGGCGUGCUUAACACAUGCAAGUCGAACGGAAAGGCCCUGCUUUUGUGGGGUGCUCGAGUGGCGAACGGGUGAGUAACACAUGAGUAACCUGCCCUUGACUUUGGUAUAACUUCAGGAAACUGGGGCUAAUACCGGAUAGGAGCUCCUGCUGCAUGGUGGGGGUUGGAAAGUUUCGGCGGUUGGGGAUGGACUCGCGGCUUAUCAGCUUGUUGGUGGGGUAGUGGCUUACCAAGGCUUUGACGGGUAGCCGGCCUGAGAGGGUGACCGGCCACAUUGGGACUGAGAUACGGCCCAGACUCCUACGGGAGGCAGCAGUGGGGAAUAUUGCACAAUGGGCGGAAGCCUGAUGCAGCAACGCCGCGUGCGGGAUGACGGCCUUCGGGUUGUAAACCGCUUUCGCCUGUGACGAAGCGUGAGUGACGGUAAUGGGUAAAGAAGCACCGGCUAACUACGUG
rnacentral:rRNA from 1 species